rnacentral:rRNA from 1 species
AUCUAUGGCCAUGCCACUCUGAGCACGCCUGAUCCCGGCUGAUCUCAGAAGCUAAGCAGGGUGGGGCCUGGUUAGUACUUGGAUGAGAGACCACCUAGGAAGACCAGGUAAAAAAUA